rnacentral:lncRNA from 1 species
AAGCAUCCGGGUUUAAGUCUCCUUAGGCGAGGAAGGCUUCGCUUUCUAGCAGGUCCAGAUAUCCUGAGUCUCCCAGAAACUGCAGGAGGGGACAGGACCCGACUUCGAGACUGUAGGGUGGGGUGAGGGGAUGAGCACUUGUCUGCCUCAUACCCCAGCCUUGCCUGAUUUAUUUAACUGCAAGUUAGAAACUGGGAGAGAACCAACUUGGAGCUUUUUUGGUCUGGGAAAGAAAAUCCAAACCAUGCUUCUCUAGGGCCUCCUGACCUGGCUAAGCUCCAUGGAGGGAACCCUGGCCACGAGGGAUCCAAGCACUGCUCUGGUUUCCCAGAAGCCUGUGGAUGACUCUCAUCUGGCGGUGGACCUCAGAUGGGGCUCAGCAGUGAAAGAGGGGAAGACAAAAAUCUGGCGAGCGAGCUGCCCGGGCCGAGACUGGCCACUUCAAACAGCCCUUCAAACAAAAGGAGACGACGAAAAGAAAGCCCCACCUGUCUCCAGUGUUUGCUAAAAUAAUAAUAAAUAGAUUUCGUUUAAUAAAUAAUUACAA